rnacentral:rRNA from 1 species
AUUGAACGCUGGCGGCAUGCUUUACACAUGCAAGUCGAACGGUAACAGGCCGCGAGGUGCUGACGAGUGGCGAACGGGUGAGUAAUGCAUCGGAACGUGCCCAGUCGUGGGGGAUAACGCAGCGAAAGCUGCGCUAAUACCGCAUACGAUCUAUGGAUGAAAGCGGGGGACCGUAAGGCCUCGCGCGAUUGGAGCGGCCGAUGUCAGAUUAGGUAGUUGGUGGGGUAAAGGCUCACCAAGCCAACGAUCUGUAGCUGGUCUGAGAGGACGACCAGCCACACUGGGACUGAGACACGGCCCAGACUCCGACGGGAGGCAGCAGUGGGGAAUUUUGGACAAUGGGCGCAAGCCUGAUCCAGCAAUGCCGCGUGCAGGAAGAAGGCCUUCGGGUUGUAAACUGCUUUUGUACGGAACGAAACGGCUCUGGUUAAUACCUGGGGCUAAUGACGGUACCGUAAGAAUAAGCACCGACUAACUACGUGCCAGCCGCCGCAGUAAUAC